UGGCGGCAGGCUUAACACAUGCAAGUCGAGCGGUAGCAGAUCUAGCUUGCUAGAUGCUGACGAGCGGCGGACGGGUGAGUAACGCGUAGGAACCUGCCCAGUAGUGGGGGAUAGCCCGGGGAAACUCGGAUUAAUACCGCAUACGCUCUACGGAGGAAAGAGGGGGCUUCGGCUCUCGCUAUUGGAUGGGCCUGCGUGAGAUUAGCUAGUUGGUGAGGUAAUGGCUCACCAAGGCGACGAUCUCUAGCUGGUCUGAGAGGAUGAUCAGCCACACUGGGACUGAGACACGGCCCAGACUCCUACGGGAGGCAGCAGUGGGGAAUAUUGCACAAUGGGCGCAAGCCCGAUGCAGCCAUGCCGCGUGUGUGAAGAAGGCUUUCGGGUUGUAAAGCACUUUCAGUGGGGAGGAAGGCCUCGUAGUUAAUAGCUGCGAGGAUUGACGUUACCCACAGAAGAAGCACCGGCUAACUCCGUG
rnacentral:rRNA from 1 species